rnacentral:rRNA from 1 species
UUGCCAGACUCCUACGGGAGGCAGCAGUGGGGAAUAUUGCACAAUGGGGGGAACCCUGAUGCAGCGAUGCCGCGUGGAGGAAGAAGGUUUUCGGAUUGUAAACUCCUUUUAUCAGGGACGAUAAUGACGGUACCUGAAGAAAAAGCUCCGACUAACUACGUGCCAGCAGCCGCGGUAAUACGUAGGGAGCGAGCGUUGUCCAGAAUUACUGGGUGUAAAGGGAGCGUAGGCGGGACGGCAAGUCAGAUGUGAAAACCAUGGGCUCAACCUGUGGCCUGCAUUUGAAACUGUAGUUCUUGAGUACUGGAGAGGCAGACGGAAUUCCUAGUGUAGCGGUGAAAUGCGUAGAUAUUAGGAGGAACACCAGUGGCGAAGGCGGUCUGCUGGACAGCAACUGACGCUGAGGCGCGAAAGCGUGGGGAGCAAACAGGAUUAGAUACCCUGUA